rnacentral:rRNA from 1 species
AUGAACGCUAGCUACAGGCUUAACACAUGCAAGUCGAGGGGCAUCAGGGUGUAGCAAUACACCGCUGGCGACCGGCGCACGGGUGAGUAACACGUAUCCAACCUGCCCUUUACUCGGGGAUAGCCUUUCGAAAGAAAGAUUAAUACCCGAUGGCAUAACAUGACCUCCUGGUUUUGUUAUUAAAGAAUUUCGGUAGAGGAUGGGGAUGCGUUCCAUUAGGCAGUUGGCGGGGUAACGGCCCACCAAACCUUCGAUGGAUAGGGGUUCUGAGAGGAAGGUCCCCCACAUUGGAACUGAGACACGGUCCAAACUCCUACGGGAGGCAGCAGUGAGGAAUAUUGGUCAAUGGGCGAGAGCCUGAACCAGCCAAGUAGCGUGAAGGAUGACCGCCCUAUGGGUUGUAAACUUCUUUUAUAUGGGAAUAAAGGGUGCCACGUGUGGCAUUUUGUAUGUACCAUAUGAAUAAGGAUCGGCUAACUCCGUGCCAGCAGCCGCGGUAAUACGGAGGAUCCGAGCGUUAUCCGGAUUUAUUGGGUUUAAAGGGAGCGUAGGUGGACAUGUAAGUCAGUUGUGAAAGUUUGCGGCUCAACCGUAAAAUUGCAGUUGAUACUGCGUGUCUUGAGUACAGUAGAGGUGGGCGGAAUUCGUGGUGUAGCGGUGAAAUGCUUAGAUAUCACGAAGAACUCCGAUUGCGAAGGCAGCUCACUGGACUGCAACUGACACUGAUGCUCGAAAGUGUGGGUAUCAAACAGGAUUAGAUACCCUGGUAGUCCACACAGUAAACGAUGAAUACUCGCUGUUUGCGAUAUACAGUAAGCGGCCAAGCGAAAGCAUUAAGUAUUCCACCUGGGGAGUACGCCGGCAACGGUGAAACUCAAAGGAAUUGACGGGGGCCCGCACAAGCAGUGGAGUAUGUGGUUUAAUUCGAAGCAACGCGAAGAACCUUACCAGGUCUUGACAUCCUUUGACCACCUAAGAGAUUAGGCUUUCCCUUCGGGGACAAAGUGACAGGUGGUGCAUGGCUGUCGUCAGCUCGUGUCGUGAGAUGUUGGGUUAAGUCCCGCAACGAGCGCAACCCUUAUCUUCAGUUACUAACAGGUCAUGCUGAGGACUCUGGAGAGACUGCCGUCGUAAGAUGUGAGGAAGGUGGGGAUGACGUCAAAUCAGCACGGCCCUUACGUCCGGGGCUACACACGUGUUACAAUGGGGGGUACAGAAGGCCGCUACACAGCGAUGUGAUGCCAAUCCCUAAAGCCCCUCUCAGUUCGGAUCGAAGUCUGCAACCCGACUUCGUGAAGCUGGAUUCGCUAGUAAUCGCGCAUCAGCCACGGCGCGGUGAAUACGUUCCCGGGCCUUGUACACACCGCCCGUCAAGCCAUGGGAGCCGGGGGUACCUGAAGUACGUAACCGCAAGGAGCGUCCUAGGGUAAAACUGGUGACUGGGGCU